CCGUGGGGAUUCGUCCCCAUCGAGAUAGCACCCUUUGUUUAUAAGUACCAUUUGUUUCCUCGGCGGGUCUGUCUGGACCCGCCGCUAGGACCCCCUAAAAACCUUUGUAGUUGCAGUACCUUCAGUAAAUGAUAAAAAAUAUCA
rnacentral:misc_RNA from 1 species